CCCGUUAGGCCAAAGCUAUGUCGGCCGCCCGUCCCGCGCUCCGCAAACUGAGGAAAUGUGGAGGGUGGAGAAGGCGGUCCGGGCCCUUCUCCCACCCUGGGCCUCCAGGCCCUAAUUUUAUCGCGAGAGAGGGAAGUGAAUGACCCAAGGACUGGGCGCUGCCUCCUGAACACCAGGGCCCAACUCUGGACCGCUGACUCCUGUCCAACAGAUGUGAAGGCCACUAACUCCAGUGGGGGGCAGCACAGAAGCCAAACACAGCGAGUGGAGGAGAGCAAGAGUGUGCAGGCUCCAUGAUCUGAAGAAUGUCUUCUCUGCAUCUGCUUUAAAAUCACACACAGGGUUUCUCUCCAUUGUGACUGCUUUCAUGCAUUUGAAGACAACUGGGAUAAAUGAAUGCUUUCUCACAUUUCUGACAUUUAUAAGUGGUUUCUAUGUCCCCAGGGUUUGGGUUUUAUUCAGCUGUGGUCAGAUCACCAGAUCGGGAGCCCAUCGCCAGUGCAGAGCGCGUUUGUUGCUCACAGUUCCCGGGGUGGGGGUGGGGGGGAGGAGCGGGUCAUGCUGGCCCACAGGAGAGGACAGUGA